GCAGAGGGCUGGAUGGCCGCGGGCGGCAACGUCAGAGGAAAGUCCGGACUCCAUAAGGCAACGGUGCCGGGUAACGCCCGGCUGGGGAAACCCAAGGGAAAGCGCCACAGAGAACAGACCGCUCCCGCUUGCGGGAGUAAGGGUGAAACGGUGGGGUAAGAGCCCACCGCGGCCCUGGCAACAGGGACGGCACGGCAAGCCCCACCGGGAGCAAUGCCAAAUAGGGAUCGCGUGUGCGCAAGCACAGGGGCGCCUUGCCCCGAGCAGGUCCGGGUUGGCAGCUAUAGGGCGUCUGGCAACAGGCGCUUAAGAUGAAUGGUCAUCGAACCGAGGGCAACUUCGGGGAACAAAAUCCGGCUUAUAGGCCCUCUGCGCGU
rnacentral:RNase_P_RNA from 2 species